rnacentral:pre_miRNA from 1 species
AGUGGGAUAGCUGGGUCAAAUGGUGGUUCCAUUCAGAGUUUUCCAAGAAAUCUCCAUAUUGCUUUUCAUAAUAGCUGCACCAUUUUGCAGUCCCACCAGCUAC